ensembl:lncRNA
CAAAGGCAAGCUUUACUAGGGCAUGGGGGAAGAAAAGUAAGGAAGGAUUGCAUGAGAUGGAGAGUGUGCAAAGUGUGCUCCUGCACACCAUGGAACAGGUCCUUUAGGUUGGACUCAGCUCCACCAAGGGACAAAGGAGGAAGCAGAAGCAUACAUCACUACUUUCCCUGGGAGGUAUAAUCUGGAACAGAAUAUGUGCUAAUUAAAUGCUAAUAGUUCUAAAUAAAAGAUGUGGUAAUUUUUCUGAAAUAAUUAGGACUAGCCACCAGCACAGCACCAAGGGUGUGAUCAUUACCCCAUGCCGCCCUCCAUUCCACAUGGAGAAAAUCUCAUUUUCCCAAGGAAAUGAGAACCCAAACAUACCAUACUGAGUACCGGGAUGAACCUGCUAUACUCCCAAUAAUAGUGGAAGACACAAAUUAGAAAAAAACAACAAAAAUGCAGUCUGUACAUCCUACUCAUCGAGAAUGGUGUACCAGUCUGAAUCAAUCCCUCUUUAUGGUUGGAGGCACCAGUGGCAAGGCCCCAUGUUUUCCUUGAAGGCGAUGGAGGAGCCAGCGGGGCUGGUGCUGCAGUGGCUUGCUGCAUGCCAUUCUGCAGCUUAGGAGGGCUCUGGAUUCAGAAGGGUAUCAGGAGGGUAGAGAAGGGCUGUAGUCCUGAUUUUGUUCUGGGAAAAGCAUCUAGUUCACUGACAGAAGAUUAAGGCACAGUGUUUCCUUCCAUCUGCUGCUGAUUAAUGCAAUUCAAGGUCAUGAGAACUUUUAGUUAAGAAUUUCUUGAUUUUUUUUUUUUAACAUCUGUGUCACUUAAUUGGGUUAAUGUAACUCUAAAAUUUAAUUGGAUUAACGUAAGUACAUAAAUCAUGAAGUACUCGCUUCACAAAGGUUAACAGCAGUACAUUGGUUCUCACAGAUAAAACAGAUUUCACAAGUUCAGUUCUGAUUUCAUUUGUACUCUUUAAAAUUACCUCCUGUACAAAUUACUAUUAUUCCCUUAUGAUGAACCCAACUACAUGCAUUGAAGAGGCAAGUGAUGGAUUGAGCCAAUCAGCAUCUUCCACAUCAAUUCCAGUACUCAAAGAAUUGUUGGAUUUUUACGUAGGGUUCCUGAAAGUAAUGCUUCCUUGUUUCCACAGGUACCAUAACAGCACAAAAACACUAUAGGAUAGAGCAAAUUCUCAGAUACAAAACACCGUUUUUCAGUGUAGUCACUACCAUUAGUUGUGCAUUUUCACCAGCAAUGAACAAGAGCCUGCAUGCUGCACUCAAAAAUCUGCACCAGUGGAGGCGACCCACUGUCACUGUUGCCACUGCUGAAGUGCACACCACUCACUGCCUCACUCUGCUUAUAUCCACUAUUUGGUCUCCAGAAUUGUUCAGCAAGCAUCAGCAAAUGUCAGUGUGUUCCUUCCACCCCGACCCCCCCCCCGGCCUCCCCCAUCCUUGCAUAGAGGAAUUCCAUUCCACAGUUUUGAAUCACAUGCACUUCCAUGUCAGACAUCAUUUUGUCAGACUGCCCCCCUCCGCUGCCAUCUGUCACACAGCAACAACAUGUAAUGGAAUAUUGGUGGGAAGGUUCAACCUCUACUGCCAUACCACCAGAAUCUGCCUGUGACAUCAUGGGCCAACAUAAUAAAAUAGGGGACAUUACUUUUGGUGUGGCCCUCAUAAUUACCAAUUGGCCUCUCUAAUUUCUAGCUGCUACCUCUUGCUUUGCCUUUCUCCAAUGUAAGGCAUGUUAGAGAGUCUGAGCAUUUAUACAUGGGUUAGUGAACCCCUGGUUUCAAAAGGUACCCUCACAGAAGUGCAGUGCUGGACAUAGAGGAUGCUUGCAUACACAAGAUUUCUGAUUUCUCUCAUUUUAAGGUUGGGACUUGAGGUUCUUAGGCUCCAAUAUAUUUCCACUUGUUACACUGCAAAAUUUCUCUUAAUUCAGAGAACAAUUUUUAUGAUUGCUCUGUUUUUGGCCAGCCUGUAAAAGACCAUAAUAUAUUGUUUUUCCCUAACGACUACUGGGAUUUUCUAAUAAAUCUAACGGCUAAAUUAAGAGUUUUCUCUGGUUCAUUCUUACAAUUUUUUCCAGAAAUAAG